ACAUGUAACAUCUUCACCCUCUCAGUUCAACAACUAAUGUUUUUGUUCAAUUUAUAUUUCGAAAUGGUUCAACUAACAUCCUGAUCUAAUUAUGUAGGUGUGGACAAAAAAACAACAACUACCUUGAAUAACUGGGGAGAGUGACUUCUUCUUUUGUCCUUCUUUUUUCUUAAACCCUUUAACGGACAAAAAUGGAAAAUGAAUAUGUUGUGAUCGCUAACUUGUAUAAUCGUCUUCUUUCUUUAAACCCUUAAACAGGUAAAAAUAGAAAUUGAAUAUGUUGUGACUGUUAACUUGUAUAAUCUACAUUUACAAUUUCAUGUUCAGUCAAGGACAUGAUUUUUGUUUGAAUGAAGAUGGUCGGCAUAGGAACAAAAGGGCAUGAAAACAUUGAGCAGUGAGUUUCUCCAUUCGUCGUCUUCUUCUUAAUUAUUUUCCUUGCAAAGGAAUGAAAUUACCCGCAUUUACUAACAAAUUCACCUAUACAUUUGUUUCUUCUACUUUUGUUAUUGAGUUAGCUGUAGCUGCUCAAUGAAGUUUAAUUAAUGAACGUCAAAGUGACGAAUGACACAAGAAGUUAUACGUUCAGGCCCAAAAAUCCUAUCGGGAUUAGAUUCUAUGAACUGUUUUCUCACUUGAAAAUGAGAUGAGAGCAAAUUGCUUGGUUGUUUGAAGAAAUUAAUUCUAGAAGAGGUACAUGAUGUCUAAUCAAUGUUCUAAUCCUUUGUUCCCCGUGGAUUAUAUGUGGUAACGGGCAUUAGGGAGUUGCUGUCAUAUCCCAAUCAAUGUAAAGCUUCUCAGAAGUAUGGCUUCCAUAUUCUGAUCCUUUUUGACAAUUCUUAUCAGAAGAGAAAGUCACGUCCUUCGUAGAGUGUAGUUAGAGGCUAAAGAAGAACUUUCUAAGUUGGACAUAAGAUUGAGCAUGUUCAUUACAGGCUAAAUCUUUAACUACACAAUUUUGAGG